rnacentral:rRNA from 1 species
UGGGAAUUUGGACAAUGGGCGAAAGCCUGAUCCAGCAAUGCCGCGUGUGUGAAGAAGGCCUUCGGGUUGUAAAGCACUUUUGUCCGGAAAGAAAUCCUUGGCUCUAAUACAGUCGGGGGAUGACGGUACCGGAAGAAUAAGCACCGGCUAACUACGUGCCAGCAGCCGCGGUAAUACGUAGGGUGCAAGCGUUAAUCGGAAUUACUGGGCGUAAAGCGUGCGCAGGCGGUUUGCUAAGACCGAUGUGAAAUCCCCGGGCUCAACCUGGGAACUGCAUUGGUGACUGGCAGGCUAGAGUAUGGCAGAGGGGGGUAGAAUUCCACGUGUAGCAGUGAAAUGCGUAGAGAUGUGGAGGAAUACCGAUGGCGAAGGCAGCCCCCUGGGCCAAUACUGACGCUCAUGCACGAAAGCGUGGGGAGCAAACAGGAUUAGAUACCCUGGUAGUCCACGCCCUAAACGAUGUCAACUAGUUGUUGGGGGAUUCAUUUCCUUAGUAACGUAGCUAACGCGUGAAGUUGACCGCCUGGGGAGUACGGUCGCAAGAUUAAAACUCAAAUGAAUUGACGGGGU